UACGUAGGGUGCAAGCGUUAAUCGGAAUUACUGGGCGUAAAGCGUGCGCAGGCGGUUUUGUAAGUCUGUCGUGAAAGCCCCGGGCUCAACCUGGGAAUUGCGAUGGAGACUGCAAGGCUUGAAUCUGGCAGAGGGGGGGUAGAAUUCCACGUGUAGCAGUGAAAUGCGUAGAGCUCCGGAGGAACACCAGUGGCGAAGGCGGCCGCCUGGGCC
rnacentral:rRNA from 1 species